rnacentral:rRNA from 1 species
CCUACGGGGGGCUGCAGUAACGAAUCUUCCGCAAUGGGCGAAAGCCUGACGGAGCAAUGCCGCGUGCAGGAUGAAGCCCUUCGGGGUGUAAACUGCUGUCAGGGAUUAGGAACACAAUGACCAAUCCCAAAGGAAGAGACGACUAACUCUGUGCCAGCAGUCGCGGUAAUACAGAGGUCUCGAGCGUUAGUCGGAAUCACUGGGCUUAAAGCGUACGUAGGCGGAUCUGCAGGCGUCGUGUGAAAUCCCUCGGCUCAACCGGGGAACUGCAUGGCGAACCGCAGGUCUUGAGACAAGUAGGGGCGGUCGGAACGAUAGGUGGAGUGGUGAAAUGCGUUGAUAUCUAUCGGAACGCCGAAGGUGAAAACAGACCGCUGGGCUUGUUCUGACGCUGAGGUACGAAAGCGUGGGUAGCGAACGGGAUUAGAUACCCGUGUAGU